UUAAGCGACUAAGCGUACACGGUGGAUGCCCUGGCAGUCAGAGGCGAUGAAGGACGUGCUAAUCUGCGAUAAGCGUCGGUAAGGUGAUAUGAACCGUUAUAACCGGCGAUUUCCGAAUGGGGAAACCCAGUGUGUUUCGACACACUAUCAUUAACUGAAUCCAUAGGUUAAUGAGGCGAACCGGGGGAACUGAAACAUCUAAGUACCCCGAGGAAAAGAAAUCAACCGAGAUUCCCCCAGUAGCGGCGAGCGAACGGGGAGCAGCCCAGAGCCUGAAUCAGUGUGUGUGUUAGUGGAAGCGUCUGGAAAGGCGCGCGAUACAGGGUGACAGCCCCGUACACAAAAAUGCACAUGCUGUGAGCUCGAUGAGUAGGGCGGGACACGUGGUAUCCUGUCUGAAUAUGGGGGGACCAUCCUCCAAGGCUAAAUACUCCUGACUGACCGAUAGUGAACCAGUACCGUGAGGGAAAGGCGAAAAGAACCCCGGCGAGGGGAGUGAAAAAGAACCUGAAACCGUGUACGUACAAGCAGUGGGAGCACGCUUAGGCGUGUGACUGCGUACCUUUUGUAUAAUGGGUCAGCGACUUAUAUUCUGUAGCAAGGUUAACCGAAUAGGGGAGCCGAAGGGAAACCGAGUCUUAACUGGGCGUUAAGUUGCAGGGUAUAGACCCGAAACCCGGUGAUCUAGCCAUGGGCAGGUUGAAGGUUGGGUAACACUAACUGGAGGACCGAACCGACUAAUGUUGAAAAAUUAGCGGAUGACUUGUGGCUGGGGGUGAAAGGCCAAUCAAACCGGGAGAUAGCUGGUUCUCCCCGAAAGCUAUUUAGGUAGCGCCUCGUGAACUCAUCUCCGGGGGUAGAGCACUGUUUCGGCAAGGGGGUCAUCCCGACUUACCAACCCGAUGCAAACUGCGAAUACCGGAGAAUGUUAUCACGGGAGACACACGGCGGGUGCUAACGUCCGUCGUGAAGAGGGAAACAACCCAGACCGCCAGCUAAGGUCCCAAAGUCAUGGUUAAGUGGGAAACGAUGUGGGAAGGCCCAGACAGCCAGGAUGUUGGCUUAGAAGCAGCCAUCAUUUAAAGAAAGCGUAAUAGCUCACUGGUCGAGUCGGCCUGCGCGGAAGAUGUAACGGGGCUAAACCAUGCACCGAAGCUGCGGCAGCGACGCUUAUGCGUUGUUGGGUAGGGGAGCGUUCUGUAAGCCUGUGAAGGUGUACUGUGAGGUAUGCUGGAGGUAUCAGAAGUGCGAAUGCUGACAUAAGUAACGAUAAAGCGGGUGAAAAGCCCGCUCGCCGGAAGACCAAGGGUUCCUGUCCAACGUUAAUCGGGGCAGGGUGAGUCGACCCCUAAGGCGAGGCCGAAAGGCGUAGUCGAUGGGAAACAGGUUAAUAUUCCUGUACUUGGUGUUACUGCGAAGGGGGGACGGAGAAGGCUAUGUUGGCCGGGCGACGGUUGUCCCGGUUUAAGCGUGUAGGCUGGUUUUCCAGGCAAAUCCGGAAAAUCAAGGCUGAGGCGUGAUGACGAGGCACUACGGUGCUGAAGCAACAAAUGCCCUGCUUCCAGGAAAAGCCUCUAAGCAUCAGGUAACAUCAAAUCGUACCCCAAACCGACACAGGUGGUCAGGUAGAGAAUACCAAGGCGCUUGAGAGAACUCGGGUGAAGGAACUAGGCAAAAUGGUGCCGUAACUUCGGGAGAAGGCACGCUGAUAUGUAGGUGAAGCGACUUGCUCGUGGAGCUGAAAUCAGUCGAAGAUACCAGCUGGCUGCAACUGUUUAUUAAAAACACAGCACUGUGCAAACACGAAAGUGGACGUAUACGGUGUGACGCCUGCCCGGUGCCGGAAGGUUAAUUGAUGGGGUUAGCGCAAGCGAAGCUCUUGAUCGAAGCCCCGGUAAACGGCGGCCGUAACUAUAACGGUCCUAAGGUAGCGAAAUUCCUUGUCGGGUAAGUUCCGACCUGCACGAAUGGCGUAAUGAUGGCCAGGCUGUCUCCACCCGAGACUCAGUGAAAUUGAACUCGCUGUGAAGAUGCAGUGUACCCGCGGCAAGACGGAAAGACCCCGUGAACCUUUACUAUAGCUUGACACUGAACAUUGAGCCUUGAUGUGUAGGAUAGGUGGGAGGCUUUGAAGUGUGGACGCCAGUCUGCAUGGAGCCGACCUUGAAAUACCACCCUUUAAUGUUUGAUGUUCUAACGUUGACCCGUAAUCCGGGUUGCGGACAGUGUCUGGUGGGUAGUUUGACUGGGGCGGUCUCCUCCUAAAGAGUAACGGAGGAGCACGAAGGUUGGCUAAUCCUGGUCGGACAUCAGGAGGUUAGUGCAAUGGCAUAAGCCAGCUUGACUGCGAGCGUGACGGCGCGAGCAGGUGCGAAAGCAGGUCAUAGUGAUCCGGUGGUUCUGAAUGGAAGGGCCAUCGCUCAACGGAUAAAAGGUACUCCGGGGAUAACAGGCUGAUACCGCCCAAGAGUUCAUAUCGACGGCGGUGUUUGGCACCUCGAUGUCGGCUCAUCACAUCCUGGGGCUGAAGUAGGUCCCAAGGGUAUGGCUGUUCGCCAUUUAAAGUGGUACGCGAGCUGGGUUUAGAACGUCGUGAGACAGUUCGGUCCCUAUCUGCCGUGGGCGCUGGAGAACUGAGGGGGGCUGCUCCUAGUACGAGAGGACCGGAGUGGACGCAUCACUGGUGUUCGGGUUGUCAUGCCAAUGGCACUGCCCGGUAGCUAAAUGCGGAAGAGAUAAGUGCUGAAAGCAUCUAAGCACGAAACUUGCCCCGAGAUGAGUUCUCCCUGACUCCUUGAGAGUCCUGAAGGAACGUUGAAGACGACGACGUUGAUAGGCCGGGUGUGUAAGCGCAGCGAUGCGUUGAGCUAACCGGUACUAAUGAACCGUGAGGCUUAACCUU
rnacentral:rRNA from 4 species